GGCCGCCUGGCGAAAUGGUAUCGCGUCUGACUACGACUUGCGAUGCAGUAAUACGUAUCAGGAGAUUGCAGGUCCGAGACCUGCGGUGGUCA